GUGGGUGCAGGUGAAUUAUGGGAGUUGUAGUGUGGGUCUGAUAAUAGUGGGUGCAGGUGAAUUAUGGGAGUUGUAGUGAGGGAUGAUAAUAGUGGGUGCAGGUGAAUUGUGGGAGUUGUAGUGAGGGCUGAUAAUAGUGGGUGCAGGUGAAUUAUGGGAGUUGUAGUGUGGGUCUGAUAAUAGUGGGUGCAGGUGAAUUAUGGGAGUUGUAGUGAAGGCUGAUAAUAGUGGGUGCAGGUGAAUUAUGGGAGUUGUAGUGAGGGCUGAUAAUAGUGGGUGCAGGUGAAUUAUGGGAGUUGUAGUGAGGGAUGAUAAUAGUGGGUGCAGGUGAAUUAUGGGAGUUGUAGUGUGGGUCUGAUAAUAGUGGGUGCAGGUGAAUUAUGGGAGUUGUAGUGAGGGCUGAUAAUAGUGGGUGCAGGUGAAUUAUGGGAGUUGUAGUGUGGGUCUGAUAAUAGUGGGUGCAGGUGAAUUAUGGGAGUUGUAGUGAGGGAUGAUAAUAGUGGGUGCAGGUGAAUUGUGGGAGUUGUAGUGAGGGCUGAUAAUAGUGGGUGGAGGUGAAUUAUGGGAGUUGUAGUGAGGGCUGAUAAUAGUGGGUGCAGGUGAAUUGUGGGAGUUGUAGUGAGGGCUGAUAAUAGUAGGUACAGGUGAAUUGUGGGAGUUGUAGUGAGGGCUGAUAAUAGUGGGUGCAGGUGAAUUAUGGGAGUUGUAGUGAGGGCUGAUAAUAGUGGGUGCAGGUGAAUUGUGGGAGUUGUAGUGAGGGCUGAUAAUAGUGGGUGCAGGUGAAUUGUGGGAGUUGUAGUGAGGGCUGAUAAUAGUGGGUGGAGGUGAAUUAUGGGAGUUGUAGUCAGGGCUGAUAAUAGUGGGUGCAGGUGAAUUAUGGGAAUUGUAGUGAGGGCUAAUAAUAGUGGGUGCAGGUGAAUUAUGGGAGUUGUAGUAAGGGCUGUGUGUGUGUGUGUGUGUGUGUGUGUGUGUGUGUGU